UGGAGUAUAGCCAAGUGGAAAGGCAUCGGUUUUUGGUACCGACAUUCAAAGGUUCGAAUCCUUUUACUCCAG
rnacentral:tRNA from 1 species